UACGGGGGGGGCAAGCGUUGUUCGGAAUUACUGGGCGUAAAGGGCUCGUAGGUGGCCAACUAAGUCGGACGUGAAAUCCCUCGGCUUAACCGGGGAACUGCGUCCGAUACUGGUUGGCUUGAGUUUGGGAGAGGGAUGCGGAAUUCCAGGUGUAGCGGUGAAAUGCGUAGAUAUCAGGAAGAACACCCGUGGCGAAGGCGGCUCUCUGGGACGGUACUGACGCUGAGACGCGAAAGCGUGGGGAGCGAACAGG
rnacentral:rRNA from 1 species